GAUGAACGCUGGCGGCGUGCCUAAUACAUGCAAGUCGAGCGAACAGAUAAGGAGCUUGCUCCUUUGACGUUAGCGGCGGACGGGUGAGUAACACGUGGGUAACCUACCUAUAAGACUGGGAUAACUUCGGGAAACCGGAGCUAAUACCGGAUAAUAUUUCGAACCGCAUGGUUCGAUAGUGAAAGAUGGUUUUGCUAUCACUUAUAGAUGGACCCGCGCCGUAUUAGCUAGUUGGUAAGGUAACGGCUUACCAAGGCGACGAUACGUAGCCGACCUGAGAGGGUGAUCGGCCACACUGGAACUGAGACACGGUCCAGACUCCUACGGGAGGCAGCAGUAGGGAAUCUUCCGCAACGGGCGAAAGCCUGACGGAGCAACGCCGCGUGAGUGAUGAAGGUCUUCGGAUCGUAAAACUCUGUUAUUAGGGAAGAACAUACGUGUAAGUAACUGUGCACGUCUUGACGGUACCUAAUCAGAAAGCCACGGCUAACUACGUG
rnacentral:rRNA from 1 species